rnacentral:lncRNA from 1 species
AGACAACAUGGCGGCUGCCUUGUGGCCCUGAUAGCCGGUGCGCAGAGACCCCGCCAGGGGCUGACGCUCCACAGGACGAUGGCGAGGGAAGCACAGUAACUCUGCAGGCAAGAUGGCUACAUCAAAACUGUAUAAACUGGCCAAUGGAAACAUUUAUGCACCCAACUGCUUCCCUGCCAGAAACAUUUUGCGGACAAGUGAAGAAGGGGCUGGUCACUGGCUGGUGGCUCACAGAGCUGCCCAGAAGACCAAGUUUGAGGCAGUGAUCUGUGCGAAAUCCCUUCAAGAGAAAGUACGAGGGACUCCACAGUACAUGACAGAGCUCCAACACCAUGGAUCCACAGAUGAAAUUGUUCAAGAGAAUAUCCUAGAUGGGCCAUUUCU